GCAUCUACCCCAAGUACCUCCUACAACCUGAGUGUAGGAGGCUUUAUGCUAGUUACACGCAGGGGGCUUUAAAGAACCACAACAUGUGUGUUACCUGAAGGGUGAGGUCAUUCAUUGUGCUGGUGACUGCAGUCUGGCUGUCCCCGGGAGGAGAAAUAUAUGUGGAAAUAAAGGGGUGGUCAAGUGGGGAGAGCAGACCUGGGGACCCCCUCUGGCAAAAGGAAGCUUUCUAAUGUCAUGGUUAAGAGCCUGGCUUUGGAAACAGCAAGAGAUGAGUCCUCAGCCCACCUCUGCCACUUGCCAGCUGUGUGCCUGGGAAAUGUAUGUGUGCCAAGCUGCAGUUUCCUUACCGGUGGAAUGGGGACAUCCCCAGCAUCUGCCUUGGAAAGUGGUAGCGAGGAUUAAAUAAGACAAGCCCCAUGGCUGGCACAUAGUGAGCACAGCCAGCUGGGUGAUCUGUGAUAAGUCACCUUGCCUUUCUGUACCUCAGUUUCUUCACCAGUGAGGUGAAAGAGCUGGGCUGGAAUGAUCACCAAGCUCCCUUCCUAAGACCAAACACAAGCUCACAACUCUGAAAUCGGUUGAGAAGCCAACCCAGAGAGAUUCCAUGAAGCCCAGAUUCGACGGAGCUGAAGCUCAUUGGCACAUUUCUCUCUGGGGAGUGGUGGGGUGGGAGGUAUGCAAACUAAGAGAG